rnacentral:rRNA from 1 species
GAUGAACGCUGGCGGCGUGCCUAAUACAUGCAAGUCGAACGCGGGCACUUGUGCCCGAGUGGCGAACGGGUGAGUAAUACAUAAGUAACCUGGCCUUUACAGGGGGAUAACUGCUGGAAACGGCAGCUAAGACCGCAUAGGUAGGGACACUGCAUGGUGACCGUAUUAAAAGUGCUGCAAGGCACUGGUAGAGGAUGGACUUAUGGCGCAUUAGCUGGUUGGUGAGGUAACGGCUCACCAAGGCGACGAUGCGUAGCCGACCUGAGAGGGUGACCGGCCACACUGGGACUGAGACACGGCCCAG